AGUGAACGCUGGCGGUAGACCUAACACAUGCAAGUCGAACGGCAGCACAGUAAGAGCUUGCUCUUACGGGUGGCGAGUGGCGGACGGGUGAGGAAUACAUCGGAAUCUACUUUUUCGUGGGGGAUAACGUAGGGAAACUUACGCUAAUACCGCAUACGACCUACGGGUGAAAGCAGGGGAUCUUCGGACCUUGCGCGAUUGAAUGAGCCGAUGUCGGAUUAGCUAGUUGGCGGGGUAAAGGCCCACCAAGGCGACGAUCCGUAGCUGGUCUGAGAGGAUGAUCAGCCACACUGGAACUGAGACACGGUCCCGACUCCUACGGGAGGCAGCAGUGGGGAAUAUUGGACAAUGGGCGCAAGCCUGAUCCAGCCAUACCGCGUGGGUGAAGAAGGACUUCGGGUUGUAAAGCCCUUUUGUUGGGAAAGAAAAGCAGCGGGUUAAUACCCCGCUGUUCUGACGGUACCCAAAGAAUAAGCCCCGGCUAACUUCGUG
rnacentral:rRNA from 1 species